UAAAUCCUUUUUCAGCGAGCAAUACAUGGCCUGGCCGCGAAACAUCGCAAUCAUAGGUAGUAGCGGGAAAAACCCUAGGGGACGAGAAUGGCUGUCGCGACUCUGAAGAAGGGGAUGGUAGUCUACAUGAUUGUAUAUAGGGCAGUGACCUACGGUCUAUCACCGCUGCUGCUCCUUCACCUACAAUAGCGUAAGCUCCGCGGCCAACACCCCACCCGCUGGCCUGAGCCCCUCGCUCGUCCGUUCUCUCCUCGCCGGUCCCUUCAUAUGGUUCCAUGCUGUCUCUCUAGGCAAGGGUCUGGCUGCGAUUUCUGUGAUCAGAAAUGCCUUCAAUGGGGGCCUGAUUUGAAUAUAUUGAUGACAACGACCACGGUUUCUGCAUUAAUUGAGACCAGUUUGCCCCACUGGACACCCCCUUUGCCAUGGAUACUUUCCCUUCAUAUUGGAAUCCAAGUGCAAUCAUAUUAAUGGAGAGUGAACGGUGGCCAAAUCUUAUUAUUAGCACUUCAAGAAUGGCGAAUUUGUGGGGCACGAGAAAUUUCUUUCACUCAACAAUGGGGAAAUCUUGACCGAACGAGUCCUCAUAUCAGCCAUACCAGUCCAUGAGAGCUUCAGACUGAUUCAAUUUCAGUUGGCUUUUACUUCAGAAUGGGAAGCUGAGGGGCCCAAAUAUCACUUAAUUUGGAAAAGUAUGGAUGUUUCAGGAGGUAAUCAGAUUCAACCUAUUAUAUGCAGUAUUGCGGUAUUGAGACUAUUUUGGAUCUACCUUUUACUUUUUAUGUCUCAUGCCUAUCCAUGAGAUUAUGGUAUUGUCUUACGACUCUAACCUUUUAAGUAGAUCCUGACAGAUCUUCCUUACGUCUUGGCUUUGGGUUUCCCUGAUUGCUCUUUAUCCGAUUUUUCUUGGUUCUCUUACCAAACCAUUAUGGUAAAUCAUGGAUAAUGCUAGAAUUUUUCAGCUGGUUGUGCUGUUUGUAUAUAGUUUGCCAGUUAUUUGUACAUUUUACUGUUAGUGGCAUUCAAUACCUUGGAGCUUUAAUGACGUGAUUUCUAUUUGCCCAAGUUCAACAUCUGCACAACUUGUUUAUUUCCAACCAUCACUCUGUACGGUUCAUGUGAACGUGGUGCAGUGUUGUGUGAUAAUUUGUGUGUUAAAGAUUAAAUAUUCCACCUUUGUGAAACUGAGGGAACUGUGAUUGUAUGUUGAUUAUUAGAAAGCAAGCACAGAUAUUGUUCUCCCAUCCUCCAUAACCAGUGCAGCUAUUUGCCUAGCAUGUUUGUCGUCUUACAAGCACGAAAAGUGUUGAGCUUGUGGGCACGCUCUAUUACGUAUCUUUCCAUAUUGCAAGAGGAUUGGGUCAUUUACAUACCAACACCAGGUGAAUGAGGAUAACAUCUUCGAAGAAGAACUCAUCACAAGGCAAAGCCAGGGGACCAUCCGUAUUGUGGCCAUACUCUUCUUAUGCUUGGUCUAUCAUAUGUUGAAAAAUUGGGUGGUUUAAGUAAUCCGCUCUUAUCACAAACCUUUUCCCAGCAUCCCCUACAAUAACAGCUAAGUGACCAGGACGGACAUCAGGAGGCUGUUUCUUCUCACCUCC